rnacentral:rRNA from 1 species
UGGGCGGUUCGCCGCCAGCGACGUCGCGAGAAGUCCAUUGAACCUUAUCAUUUAGAGGAAGGAGAAGUCGUAACAAGGUUUCCGUAGGUGAACCUGCGGAAGGAUCAUUG